rnacentral:rRNA from 1 species
UACGUAGGCAGCAAGCGUUGUUCGGAAUUACUGGGCGUAAAGAGUGUGUAGGCGGUGCUCCAAGUCUGGUGUGAAAUCUCCCGGCUUAACUGGGAGGGUGCAUUAGAAACUGGAAUGCUAGAGGAUGGGAGAGGUAAGCGGAAUUCCUGGUGUAGCGGUGAAAUGCGUAGAUAUCAGGAGGAACACCUGUGGUGUAGACAGCUUACUGGACCGUUUCUGACGCUGAGACACGAAAGCGUGGGUAGCAAACAGG